AGAGAGGUGGCCGAGCGGUUUAAGGCGCACGCCUGGAAAGCGUGUUGGCAGCAAUGCCUCGAGGGUUCGAAUCCCUUCCUCUCUG
rnacentral:tRNA from 1 species